AAUCUCGCAGAAUGGGUUGCCAGCGUGGGCGCUCGUGUGCAUGUACACGCGUGCGUGCGCGUGCGACAGGUGUAGGAUGUGUGCACUGUGUGCACAUCCCAUCGCACCCGGUGUAGAGGACAAGCUUGCACGCGCAUCUUGUCGUACACAGGCAGGACCCAUCUACACACAUCACAUCACGCGCGGAUAGACAGAUGCCGCACACUGUGCGCGCUCCAUUCUCAUAG
rnacentral:lncRNA from 1 species